CCUGCUCAAUGAAACUUAAAUAGCCGCUAUAUGUGCUAAGGUAGCAUAAUAAAUUGCUCUUUAAUUAAGAGAUAGAAUGAAAGGAAAUACGAUUUAUUAAUUAUAUCCAUAGAUUCAAAUAAAAUUUUAAUAAUUAGUAAAAAUCCAAUUAAAUAACAGCAGGACGACAAGACCCUGCCAAACUCUAAUUUAUAUUUUACUGGGAAGGUAACAAACAAAAUCUUUUAAAACAAUUAUCCAAUAAACGCUAAUAAUCGAAUUAAACUAAGUUACUGCAGGGAUAACAGCAUAAUAAUUUAAAAAAGCCCAUAUAUAAUAAAUUGCUUAUGACCUCGAUGUUGAAUUAACAUAUCUCUCUACAGAAAAAAGUAAAAAAGACAGUCUGUUCGACUAAUAAAACGUUACAU
rnacentral:rRNA from 1 species